GGAAAGAGGAAAAAAAAGAAAAAUUAGAGAGUCGUGGUUUUGAAAAGAAGAGACCCAGGUUGAGAAACGGGGAAGGAAGCUCUCAUAGACGUUUAUCGUACAGAAAGCAUUAUCAGAGUAACUCGUAAACCCAUUUUGGUAUAUAUUAUAUGCAUGAAUCAAUGGGUUGAUAAUCCACCAUGUAUCAUUUGGUUGAAUCCGAGGCUCGUUGCUGCCUUACAACUGGUCAUUUAAGCAUUGAAAAUGGAAGCAAUGGUGAAAAAAUUUCAAUCAAAAUUCAGAAAAGUUAGGGAAGAAAUGAAUAAAUGGGAGGAGCUUCAAUCUCGGUUACUUUCACAGUUUAGGAAUGCUUCCCAUAUUGUUGAUAGGUUGCAGGUGCUUCAAAAUUCCAACAAUUAUGGUAUUCUAAAUUGUGUCAGCGGAAUGAAAGAUGCUCUUUUGGCAAAGCAGAUUGAAUCAUUGGAGAACAUUUUGGUUUCCAUGAGAAGGACUCUGGAAGAAUUUCAUUGUAUUGUCUUAUCUCUUGAGAAAAUUCAUCGUGAUGGUAGACAACUAGUGAAAGGCAGUUCUUCUCAACCGACCAUGAAACAAUUACAGCAGCGAGUUGGCAUCAAACCUAGACUUAUUGAUUGCUUGGAUGGCCUGUUGUUUCUACAUGAGAUGCACAAUGCAGAGUAUUUGUUAAAAUCAUCAGUGGUCUCAGCACUAUCAGCAAUGGCCUUAAAACCCAGUGCCAGCGAUCUUGGUGCACUUCAGCAACUCUUGGUUGAUCAACCCAAUCUCCCUACUGAGGAAGUUCAAUUUAUAUUUGAUAUAAUAUUUGCUGAAGAGCUGUGAUGAUGAUCCUCUAUUAUGGAUAUUGACUUUGUACCUGGGAAUGCUUGAGCUUUUGUGCAUCAAGGGAGUCUUUUGAUCUUACAGGCAUGACCUGUCGAUGCGGCAUGAUUGUUGAUGCAGAACGGAUUAAGAUAAUUGAUGUCACUUUUACUUGCAAGUUAUGAAUUUUAUGGAUUCAAUGUUUUGGAAUUCUUUGGGCACGGGAGGAUUUGAUUCUUAUGGGAAGGAGUUGCUAGGCUUCUAAUUUCAUAUAAAGAAAGGAGCACUCUGUUCUCAAUUGGCUUUCAGUUUCCAACUAUUUUUAUUGGAGACCAGUUUAUGUGUGUUUUUCAAAUUUUUGAAUGUGUCCUUUAGCUCAUAUUGUUUAUAUAUUAUUUUUCUUUUUGG